CACUACACCAGGUUGUUCGUGCACAACCACAAUGACCGAACUCCGUCGACCGGAGCGGCAACAUCCUCCCUGGAACUGUUGUCGACUCCAAGAUCUUCCACCCCAUGGAGUUCGACUUUGUCCUGAGCAGUUAUGCCGACAUCAAGGGCACGAGUCGCGUGAUGCAUUACCAUGACUGAUGCGCUGCAGUCCCUCACCAACAAACUGUGCUACAUGGCUACAAGACAAAGCUACUGGAGGAGCACCACCUGCUCAAUACAGUUAAUCUGGAGGUUUGUUUUACCCUGACAACUCAUCGCAACAAUCAGUAACAACCAGCGCCGCCCCCUCGCAGCAGCGACACCCCAGCAACCUGGCUCAUCCCAUAACCGUCUGGAUGAUAGAGUGAAUGGCUCCUACAAGACCUGGUGCUAUCCUGGUUGCGGCAGGCAUUCGUCUUCGAUUACUUCCUGCAUUGAGUUCACCACGCCUCAACCACAACCACGGUGGCCGCUUCACCAUCUCCACGGUUUAGGGACAACGAGGAUGACAACCAGGAAGUUGUAGCAGCUGCCCGCAGCCUGAUGCAUCACUUGAAAGCUGGAUGAUUGCAAUGUGUGAGCAGCCAAGGUUUCACAUUCGAUAGCAUCUUGUAGCGCAGCAUUUGUGUUGUAUGUAACCGUCCCUUGAUCGA